rnacentral:rRNA from 1 species
UACGGGGGGGGCAAGCGUUGUCCGGAAUUAUUGGGCGUAAAGCGCGCGCAGGCGGUUAUUUAAGUCUGGUGUUUAAACCUUGGGCUCAACCUGGGGUCGCACUGGAAACUGGGUAACUUGAGUACAGAAGAGGAAAGUGGAAUUCCCGGUGUAGCGGUGAAAUGCGCAGAUAUCGGGAAGAACACCCGUGGCGAAGGCGGCUUUCUGGGACGGUACUGACGCUGAGACGCGAAAGCGUGGGGAGCGAACAGG